UGCAUGGUUUUACCUCAACUAUCUUUCUUGAGAUUUUUCUUCGUACUUAACUAAUUUUUUAUUAUCUUUCUCCAACUAGUAAAUAGAUACGUUAUAUAUUAUCUAUUUAUGAUAAGUACAAGAAAAAAAUCAAUCGUGUCAGACAAUCCAAUAAAAUUUGUUAUUAUUUGGGAUCUUAUACGAGUAUAUAACGUAAUUAUUAUACUGUCGAUUCUCGAACGUAACCGACGGGAAAAGGAUUGAUGAUAGUGUACACAAGCAGAUACCGGUUAUCUUAUAUUUUUGCAUAAAAUUUAGCUUAUUUUGUCGUACAUUAUAAAACUGAAUCUGAUAACAGAAAUUAACAAGAGUAUUUAUCUAAUAUGAUUUGUUUCAGUGAUUAGUAAGUGUAGGAAUUUAUAUGCAUUGUUUGUGAAACAAUGUAUGUCUAUUUCGACAAAGUUCCUAGCAUUAGAUUAGAAACGUGUAAGCCUGAUUCGUAUUGUCAAUCGUACCUCAUCUAUUUUUUUUCUCCUUUAUAAAUUCUAGUUUCCACCAUAUUGAAAUUCUCUGCUGUUUAUUCGUGGAUCGUUAGAUUGCAAGAGUCACGAUACUUCUGUCUCAUCACAAAGAAAGAAUUUGUAUUUAUAUAUUACUCAUUCGAAAUGUACACAUUGGUAAACAUUGAAAGAGUACGAAUAUUCAAGGAGAAUUAAAUUGAAUAACAAAAUUAAAAAAAAUUAUUUCUCUCUCGACGAAAAAUUUCUACGUCUCUGCAUUAGAUAAUAGCUAUACGAAUGAUUUUACUUCAUGAAAAUAUCAGUUUAAAUCGAAAAGUAUCAAUACCGAAAGGAAUAUCAUCUCUUUCUCUCUCUCUUUCUCUCUUGCGUUUCUUACAUUUCGUACAUUUAUAUAGAAAAUGUAAAAUGUCAGCAACAGAUCUCCCCAUAUAGACGAGAUAUUGAGCGAUAGAAAAAUUCUAGAGUAUUUUCAAUGAAUUUCUAUGAUGAAAACAGUUCGCAAUGGACUCGCGAUAACAAAUAAUCGAGAAAUACAUAAAACAAUGUGAAUCAUCAUAGUUAAGUCACGUUUUCAUUACGCAUUAUACCUGAUAUUGUGUUCUUCGAAAGAUAUAAAUCGAAAUUUUUUUUUCUGAAAGAAAAAUCAAUAACAAACUUUUUAUCAAUGAUCGAUAAUAAUUGUUAAAUUGAAAAUAAUAACAAUAAUAUAACGAUAUAACAAAUUGCUAAUUGAAAAAUUAAUUAACGAAUAGCGCUUAGAUCAACAUAUUCUUUUAUGAACAUCGAUCAAAAGUAUGUGUGUGUAUGUAUAACAUAUUGUAACUUUAUGCAUAUUAGAAUCUUUCAAUAAACGUAAAUGCUAUAGUGUUAUCGUUCACUCGUUACUUAUUAUUUGUUUUUUUUCCCUUGAACCAGUUUGUAUUAGCAAAAGAAACGCGUUACUACACGACAUGCACAAAAUAUCACUAGUGAUUAUCAAGAACCAUGCUUUGAGAAAGCUCAUUUCUCGCUGUAUAUUAGCAAGUGUCAAGUAAAUGUUUGCUUCACUUUGUAAUGUCAAACUACAUGUGUACGCAUAGUGCAUAUCAUUUAUUGCGCUCGUAAUGUUUUCCUUUUUAGCGAAUUAUUUAAUAAACGGAAAAUCAUAUAGAUAGUGACAAACACGUUGAGAAGAGAAUGAACGAUGAACCUUCAAUCUAUGUAACUAAUCGAAAGGUAUAAUAGUAAAUACGAAACAUUCUGAUUAAUCGCUUUCGACCGAUAGGUUGAAUUCUCAAGAUCGUAUUUUCGAUAAAUUUUCAUAAGAUUUUGGUUCUCGCAUGUGUCACGAUCGUAACGCAAGUUUAUCGAUAAAUUAUACAAAUCAAUACUCUUGGGAAUAUGUGUCGAUCGGGGUUGGCUAAGGUUUAGUAUUUUGCUACGUGGAAACGUUCGAAGUAUGUAUAUAUAUAUAUAUGUAUGUCUGCAAGCUGCAGACGAAAAUCCGUAAGAGAACAGCUGGUUUGGCCGAGAUAAUCCGAAAGUACGGAACUGGAAAUUUGAGGCGUUAGAGACAAAGAAACGAAAGAAGGUGGAAGAAUUCUAGGAAGAAACCCUUAUUUUUACUGACACGAGUUUGUGUUUUCUUUACGUCAUCCCACAGUUUCCUCGAACCUUUACAAUACGAUAAGAUUUCGAUUUUCGAAGUAAUUAUUAAGUUAUUAAGAUUUUCUUAUAUAAGAGAAAAUUUCUAUCGUAUUGAUAAUGUGCAUCGCAAUCUUUGCGUUUAUUUUCACGCGUAUUAUCGAUUCAAACAAUUCCAAGAUAAAUUUAUUUUUUGUACCAUUUAUUCGAAGUAUAAGUUGUAAAUUGAUAAAAUAUUCACUUAGAAAAUUGUAUAGAGAUUACGAUGUAAUGGAUCAUGCUAAAAUAUUGAAAUCUCUUUGUUAACAAUAUUCAUAUAUCAAACAUUUACAGUUGGCGUUUCAAUAUGGCAACGAUGUCAAAUAUAUACGCAUAUAGAAUUAUUCAGACAAAAGAAAAAAAAAGAAAAAAGAACAUGUAGAUAUAAAUAUAAAAAGGAAGAAAGUAUAAGAAUAAAACGAUAAGAAAGGAAAAUAAUAAAAGUUAGUACCAGGUAAAUCAAAAAUCUCGUAUCGGCUCGAAGUUGGAAGGUUUAACCGUGACUUCAGCGAAUCGCAAGGCUCUUGAAGGAUCGUCUUGAGAGGAGGGGAUCAUCGACGGAUGGAAAGAAAGAAAAAAGAACAGGCACGUGACUCCUCGCGUGGAAAACUACGGCUACGGCGUAUGACUGUGCGGAGAAGGAAAAAAGGAAGAGACUUAGGUGUUUUCCUCGACCUCGUUAUUCUUCUUUGUGGUCUCAACUUCGUGAACGUCGUGUCGUAUCGAGAACGAAAGACGAACGGCUGUUAGGAUGGAUUCGACGUUGACUUGUUUUUUUUCUUUCUCUUCUCAUUUUUCUCGUAUGUGCGAAUAUACACAUAUAUAUGUAUAUAUAUAUAUAUAUAUAUAUAUAUAUAUAUAUCUAUAUGCAUUCGUAAACACGCUGUGUAUAUUUUGUCUUUUUCUUUCUUUCGAGUACUGAUUUCUUGUCUCUUGGCAGCGCGAUAUGCUCAUAAACUUUCUUCCGUCUUUUCUAUUCAUCCUUCUACACGUGCCCCCACCCCUUCCUCUUUAUUCUUUUUUCCUCUCUCUUCUCGACGAUCGACUUUUCGCUCUUCCAUUUUCUCACUUACAUUCACUGAUAAGAAAACGAUGUUGUUGAUAGAUUUAUACUCCGUUUUUGAUUCGUAAGUGCAACUCUUUAAUUGAUAAAGACGUUUGGUUAUCUCGGUUGCUUCUUUCACUGGCAGAGAUCUCUACUGAAACACCUGACGCGUUUCCGCGUUCUUUCUCUUUCUCUCUAUAUUGAAUUAAGAGCGGUCUCAAUGUCGGCAUACCCUUUUGCACUUUGAGAUUCACUCGAAUGGGUUUGGAGAAGUAAUUGGUUAAUUCAAUAAACGUCUCCCUUUUGAAGGUAGCUUAUGUACAUAUUUCAACGGAGAAUGCGUUUGAGAUACUACUGAAUGUUUUGAGAUACAAUCAAGUAGAUACGAAUCUUGUAUCUCGCAUCUGGAUGCACGUUUACUAUUUAGACGCGAAUAAAUGUCUGUGAAAAAUGAAGUCCAUGCGGAGUGGACGUGUGUUGUGGAUUAAAUGAAUGAUCGUUACUACGUGAAUGCCAUGUCGAUACGAUAACGAUUCAUUGAAAACAUUGACAUCAAAUUUAUUCUUUUUUAUCAAGCUACAUGUAUUUAUUCCCUUUAAUGUUAUAGGAAUUAUGUGGGAAAAGAAAAAGAAAAUAGAAUUUAUCGUAGUUAUAAAAAAUAAAAAAGUUGAUAUAAAUCUUUUAAACUUGUUGCCAUGGAAUAGUGUUUCUUUGAAGUAGAAAUCUUCGUUUAAGAAGUCAUGCUAUUUUUAACAACAAGACAUGGAAAUCGUCAUCGCUACUGUCCAAGUUUCUUUAUCUUUGCAAAAAGAAUAGUUUCUCUUGGCUAAUCGAAUAUCGUUUCUAGAUGAACAUAUGUAUUUUUAUUGGAACAAGAAAAAAAAGAAAAUAAGUAUAGAUAAUGAAGAAGUAUUUUUUACACGUUUGGUAAUUUAUCAACAUUUUCUAUAGUUACUUCAAGGAUGAUUCACUAUACAUAAUUCGACUAUUUUUAUAUUUUAUAUUUUUUUCUCGAUCUCUCCGUUCUAGCUCUAGUCGUUUUCUUUAUUGUUUUCGCAUAUCAAUUAAUUAUCUAUCCCAACAUUGCGUUUCAUUUACGCCCAUUCGUGCUUUAUUUAUAUUA